ensembl:lncRNA
GCAGAAAGCAGCAGGAUGAAGAGUAAUGUGCAGCUAGGGCUGCUGUGUCUCAGCCUGCUCAUCUUCAGUCUUCAUGGAGAAGAGACAGAAUCGAGCCAAGAAUUAUCCCCCCCAUUUUUUGAAGAGCCGGAUCUUCAUCAGCUUGAGAUGUACAGAGUACGACGACAGACGGUCUCCACAGAGAAGGCAAAUCCAGCAAAGACAGUAGCUGUUGUGGCACCAAGUGAGAACGGCAAGACUAAAAGAAAACGACAACGUCCAGGAGGUCUCACUCCUUUAGGAGACAGUGCAGAACCAAGGAUACACAUCCAUCACCGCACCAAGAGACAAGAUAUAAGCAGGAAUAACAAACGGAAAAAGCAUCCCGGACGUCUGAGCCUUUUAGGAAGAAUUUCAGUUUCACCGCAGCCCCAGCUGACUGCCAAAGACAAGAGGGAUGGCGAAUGAAAAAGUUAAAGCAUUAUACGCAUUCAAGACUCCUUCCCAGGUUCCCUGAAUCAGGAAAAACGGAAUAUAUCACCAUAGUUUCAUAAAGAGUGUUUCAGGCUCAGGUUAUGCUUGUGAUAAUCAUUUAUAUUUCGAUAGCUUUUCUUUUUCAAGUAUAUUUUAGUUAAGUAAUAAUCUCUAUGGAAAAUAAAAUGCAUUUACUGAAUUCUCCCCCGUGUUUAAUUCUUAUUCGCAUCACUAGGGGG